AGAGUUUGAUCCUGGCUCAGGAUGAACGCUAGCGGCAGGCCUAACACAUGCAAGUCGAGGGGUAGAGUUCUUCGGAACUUGAGACCGGCGCACGGGUGCGUAACGCGUAUGCAAUCUACCUUAUACUAAGGGAUAGCCCAGAGAAAUUUGGAUUAAUACCUUAUAGAUAAUAAAAAGGCAUCUUUUAAUUAUAAAGAUUAUUGGUAUAAGAUGAGCAUGCGUCCCAUUAGUUAGUUGGUAAGGUAACGGCUUACCAAGACGAUGAUGGGUAGGGGUCCUGAGAGGGAGAUCCCCCACACUGGUACUGAGACACGGACCAGACUCCUACGGGAGGCAGCAGUGAGGAAUAUUGGUCAAUGGGCGCAAGCCUGAACCAGCCAUGCCGCGUGCAGGAUGACGCAUCUAUGGUGUGUAAACUGCUUUUGUACAGGAAGAAACAUCCCGACGAGUCGGGACUUGACGGUACUGUAAGAAUAAGGAUCGGCUAACUCCGUGCCAGCAGCCGCGGUAAUGUACUAGACG
rnacentral:rRNA from 1 species